AUAGGGUCAAGUGAAUAAGUGCAUCAGGCGGAUGCCUUGGCGAUGAUAGGCGACGAAGGACGUGUAAGCCUGCGAAAAGCGCGGGGGAGCUGGCAAUAAAGCUAUGAUUCCGCGAUGUCCGAAUGGGGAAACCCACUGCAUUCUGUGCAGUAUCCUAAGUUGAAUACAUAGGCUUAGAGAAGCGAACCCGGAGAACUGAACCAUCUAAGUACCCGGAGGAAAAGAAAUCAACCGAGAUUCCGCAAGUAGUGGCGAGCGAACGCGGAGGAGCCUGUACGUAAUAACUGUCGAGAUAGAAGAACAAGCUGGGAAGCUUGACCAUAGCGGGUGACAGUCCCGUAUUCGAAAUCUCAACAGCGGUACUAAGCGUACGAAAAGUAGGGCGGGACACGUGAAAUCCUGUCUGAAUAUGGGGGGACCAUCCUCCAAGGCUAAAUACUCAUCAUCGACCGAUAGUGAACCAGUACCGUGAGGGAAAGGCGAAAAGAACCCCGGGAGGGGAGUGAAACAGAACCUGAAACCUGAUGCAUACAAACAGUGGGAGCGCCCUAGUGGUGUGACUGCGUACCUUUUGUAUAAUGGGUCAACGACUUACAUUCAGUAGCGAGCUUAACCGGAUAGGGGAGGCGUAGGGAAACCGAGUCUUAAUAGGGCGAUGAGUUGCUGGGUGUAGACCCGAAACCGAGUGAUCUAUCCAUGGUCAGGUUGAAGGUGCCGUAACAGGUACUGGAGGACCGAACCCACGCAUGUUGCAAAAUGCGGGGAUGAGCUGUGGGUAGGGGUGAAAGGCUAAACAAACUCGGAGAUAGCUGGUUCUCCCCGAAAACUAUUUAGGUAGUGCCUCGAGCAAGACACUGAUGGGGGUAAAGCACUGUUAUGGCUAGGGGGUUAUUGCAACUUACCAACCCAUGGCAAACUCAGAAUACCAUCAAGUGGUUCCUCGGGAGACAGACAGCGGGUGCUAACGUCCGUUGUCAAGAGGGAAACAACCCAGACCGCCGGCUAAGGUCCCAAAUGAUAGAUUAAGUGGUAAACGAAGUGGGAAGGCACAGACAGCCAGGAUGUUGGCUUAGAAGCAGCCAUCAUUUAAAGAAAGCGUAAUAGCUCACUGGUCGAGUCGUCCUGCGCGGAAGAUGUAACGGGGCUCAAAUCUAUAACCGAAGCUGCGGAUGCCGGUUUACCGGCAUGGUAGGGGAGCGUUCUGUAGGCUGAUGAAGGUGCAUUGUAAAGUGUGCUGGAGGUAUCAGAAGUGCGAAUGUUGACAUGAGUAGCGAUAAAGCGGGUGAAAAGCCCGCUCGCCGAAAGCCCAAGGUUUCCUACGCAACGUUCAUCGGCGUAGGGUAAGUCGGCCCCUAAGGCGAGGCAGAAAUGCGUAGUCGAUGGGAAACAGGUUAAUAUUCCUGUACUUGAUUCAAAUGCGAUGUGGGGACGGAGAAGGUUAGGUUGGCAAGCUGUUGGAAUAGCUUGUUUAAGCCGGUAGGUGGAAGACUUAGGCAAAUCCGGGUUUUCUUAACACCGAGAAGUGAUGACGAGUGUCUACGGACACGAAGCAACCGAUACCACGCUUCCAGGAAAAGCCACUAAGCUUCAGUUUGAAUCGAACCGUACCGCAAACCGACACAGGUGGGCAGGAUGAGAAUUCUAAGGCGCUUGAGAGAACUCGGGAGAAGGAACUCGGCAAAUUGAUACCGUAACUUCGGGAGAAGGUAUGCCCUCUAAGGUUAAGGACUUGCUCCGUAAGCCCCGGAGGGUCGCAGAGAAUAGGUGGCUGCGACUGUUUAUUAAAAACACAGCACUCUGCCAACACGAAAGUGGACGUAUAGGGUGUGACGCCUGCCCGGUGCCGGAAGGUUAAUUGAAGAUGUGCAAGCAUCGGAUCGAAGCCCCGGUAAACGGCGGCCGUAACUAUAACGGUCCUAAGGUAGCGAAAUUCCUUGUCGGGUAAGUUCCGACCCGCACGAAUGGCGUAACGAUGGCCACACUGUCUCCUCCCGAGACUCAGCGAAGUUGAAGUGGUUGUGAAGAUGCAAUCUACCCGCUGCUAGACGGAAAGACCCCGUGAACCUUUACUGUAGCUUUGCAUUGGACUUUGAAGUCACUUGUGUAGGAUAGGUGGGAGGCUUGGAAGCAGAGACGCCAGUCUCUGUGGAGUCGUCCUUGAAAUACCACCCUGGUGUCUUUGAGGUUCUAACCCAGACCCGUCAUCCGGGUCGGGGACCGUGCAUGGUAGGCAGUUUGACUGGGGCGGUCUCCUCCCAAAGCGUAACGGAGGAGUUCGAAGGUUACCUAGGUCCGGUCGGAAAUCGGACUGAUAGUGCAAUGGCAAAAGGUAGCUUAACUGCGAGACCGACAAGUCGGGCAGGUGCGAAAGCAGGACAUAGUGAUCCGGUGGUUCUGUAUGGAAGGGCCAUCGCUCAACGGAUAAAAGGUACUCCGGGGAUAACAGGCUGAUUCCGCCCAAGAGUUCAUAUCGACGGCGGAGUUUGGCACCUCGAUGUCGGCUCAUCACAUCCUGGGGCUGUAGUCGGUCCCAAGGGUAUGGCUGUUCGCCAUUUAAAGUGGUACGUGAGCUGGGUUUAAAACGUCGUGAGACAGUUUGGUCUCUAUCUGCAGUGGGCGUUGGAAGUUUGACGGGGGCUGCUCCUAGUACGAGAGGACCGGAGUGGACGAACCUCUGGUGUACCGGUUGUAACGCCAGUUGCAUAGCCGGGUAGCUAAGUUCGGAAGAGAUAAGCGCUGAAAGCAUCUAAGCGCGAAACUCGCCUGAAGAUGAGACUUCCCUUGCGGUUUAACCGCACUAAAGGGUCGUUCGAGACCAGGACGUUGAUAGGUGGGGUGUGGAAGCGCGGUAACGCGUGAAGCUAACCCAUACUAAUUGCCCGUGAGGCUUGACUCUAU
rnacentral:rRNA from 1 species